AGAUUUAAAAGUAUAUAUUUAUAUCAUUUUCUCU
rnacentral:tRNA from 1 species